UACGUAGGAUGCAAGCGUUAUCCGGAAUGACUGGGCGUAAAGGGUGCGUAGGCGGUUUUGCAAGUUAGCAGCGUAAUUCCGGGGCUUAACUCCGGAACUACUGCUAAAACUGUAGGGCUUGAGUGCGGCAGGGGUAUGUGGAAUUCCUAGUGUAGCGGUGGAAUGCGUAGAUAUUAGGAGGAACACCGGUGGCGAAAGCGACAUACUGGGCCGUAACUGACGCUGAGGCACGAAAGCGUGGGGAGCAAACAGG
rnacentral:rRNA from 1 species